rnacentral:sRNA from 1 species
AACACGCACUUGUUAGUAGGCCUGUGCCAGAGGGCGCUGCUUAGUUCAGCUGUCAUAGUAUUCAGAUUUACUCCCGCCUCUAAAAACAAGAAAAACACAAAAUUAACAUCUCUUCCUGUUGGAUUAUGGAUAUGAUAUAUACUGAGACUGCUAAGAUGUAAACAAGGCUUGCCAACAAACGUUUCUUAUGGUUGUGAAGUUUCUUUAAUUUAUUUUGUACAUUAUUUAUUUACUGGGACCGCUAGAAGUGUUUUUGUGAACCAUUCUUAUUCUUUCUGCAUUGGCUGUUGGUAUCUAUUUCUGACAACUUAAUAGGUUAACGCACUUCAAAACUCAUUAAAACUGUGGACUAAUACGAAAAAUAAACAUUGAAUCAGCCGCACCCGCUGUAACAUGAGCAGCAGCCUUGUCCGACACGAGGAUUCCUUUCGCUACCACGAACAGGGCGCUCCUGGCGACUACUCCCUGAACGACGUGUCCAGGCAGAACUCGGAUUUUCUGGAUUCCUGUUUGUAAGUACAGUUUCCAUUCAUUACAAGAAACCUCUCCUGCUUUUU